CGGGUGUAGCUCAAUGGUAGAGCCCCAGCCUUCCAAGCUGGUAGCGUGGGUCCGAUUCCCAUCACCC
rnacentral:tRNA from 1 species